GGUUAGUACAAAAUGAAUGAAUCCGUUUGAUCGACAUUCGUGAAAGACGCUCUUAUAAGAAUUUUCCCGUUUUUUUCGAUAAUGCAAAGGUGUUUCUGGUGCUGUGCUGAUGGAUAGGGUCGAGGAGUGGUGGCGGUACAAUGGAAACGGAGUCUGUGAGGUCUGAGCUGAGCGGCCGGUCGCGAAGAAGCUCGAGGCACCGGCAGCACACGCAUCGCAGCACUCGGAGCAACAAAUCACAGAGGAAGGAAUCUUCAGACAACACGAUGGCGCCUUUUCAAACCAGUGUAAACAUCAACCCAGAAAUCGGCAGGGACGGCCAGGAAGUCAUAGAGGUCCAAAUCUUGCCACAAGAUGAAAACUGGGGAGAGAACACCACAGCGGUCACUGGAAACACUUCCGAAGGAUCACAGUCCAUGGAAGAUGUGAGCAACUGGCCCAUGGAGUCAGAUAAUGGCAUAAGCUUUGUCUGCACAAGAUAUUUUGGCACAACUAUAGCUCUUGGCCUAUCCUUUGUGUCCUUUGUGAGUCCUUUAGCAAUGGUAGUGCUGCCAAAGAUUGGCUUCUUCCCAGGGUUGUCAGACAAUAUUGCCAUACAGCCAAGCCAGAGGAUACAAUUGCUGUCAUGCACUGCUGAAUGUAAAGGCAUACUCCUUUCCUUAGCCUUCAAACUAGUAUUACUUGCAAUCGGAGUAUGGGCGGUGUUUCUAAGACCGAGAAAUGCAAUUCUACCAAGAAUAUUCGUGUUCAGAGCCAUGACACUCGUAAUUUUAGCUGUGUGUAUAUUUUCCUACUGGUUGUUCUACAUUGUUCAGAUAACUGAGGCAACGAAAGCCCUCGCAUUAGGUGAGGAAGCAAUGGAUUACAAUGCCUUAGUCUCUUACGUAUCCAGUUUUGCGGAUACUUUAUUGUUUAUACAUUAUAUCGCUGUUAUUUUAAUGGAGAUUAGGCAUUUAGAGCCUGUGUAUUACAUAAAGAUUGUACGAAGUCCUGAUGGGGAGAGCAGAUCAUAUGCGAUUGGACAGCUGAGUAUACAAAGAGCAGCUGUGUGGGUUCUACAGAAAUAUUAUACAGAGUUCCCGAUAUACAAUCCGUACUUGGAGAAGAUACCGAUAUCUAAAUCGCAGAGGAAAGCCCAGUCCAGUAUAAAAUUCUAUGAAGUUGAUGGGUCUACCAAUGCUACGCCUGGACAAGCUAGAUCAGCGUCGGGCUCGGUGGGCGGGUCGGGGCGGCGCCGCGACUCGGGGUCUGCGCACAACGAGCGCUACUACGAGGAGGCGGAGCGCGAGCGCCGCGUGCGCAAGCGCCGCGCCCGUCUGCUGUGCGCCGCCGAGGACGCCUUCGCGCAUGUCAGGCGCGUCAGGGUCUCUACUAAUGGUGGAGCGCUAGGCCCGCGCGAGGCGGCGCAGGCGGUGUUCCCGUCGCUGGCGCGGGCGCUGCAGAAGUACCUCCGCGCCACCCGCCAGCAGCCACGACACUCCGCUGACUCUGUACUCGCCCACCUAGCACGCUGCCUCUCUCAGGACGCAUCACCACGUGCCUUCCUCGAACCAUUCCUAGUCGAAGGUCCAGUGCUCUCCGCUGACCAGGAGACCAGACCCAUACAGAGGUGGUCUCUGAUCUCCGACGAGCUCCUAGCAAGGCCUUUAGCAGACAACAUCGAGUUCCAACUGAGACAAGGUGACAUCUCUCUCAUUUGUACCAUUAAACAGCUGCCCAAAUUCUCACUGACAGAAGAGGUCGUCGACCCCAAGAGCAACCGUUUCGUUUUACGCUUGAACUCGGAAACGUCAGUUUGACAGGAGGAGUUUUGUAGUCGCGAUGACUUUAGACUUGUAUGACAUUCGGAGUACUUUUAGGUUAGGUAGUGAACAGAUUCAUUGAAACAUUUUGCAUUAUUAAAAUAUUGGCAGCUAUUAUUGAUUAGAGAAUUGUAUAUGUAAAUAGAUUAUUUAGCUGAAUAAUGUUCUAAUUGAUAAAUGGUCGCAAUGCUUGGGUUCAAUUUGGCGCGAAAUACAUUUCUGUUCAUUGCCUAUCCAUACGCGUUAUAGGAAUUAGCAAAAACAGCAAAUUUUCUAGAUAAUUUGUGGCUAAAAUUAAAGCUAUAACUUUCGAGAUACGCUGGGCGUGACAUUCUAAGUACUCCGUAAGAGGAGUAUGAUUUUGAAGGAGGCUGAGGUAGUACGUUAAUCGUAAAUUUAGUAUUCUAAAGAAACCGGCCCGGUGCAAGCUUACUAAAGAAUUCUGAAAAAAAUUUGCUAUUAAGAAAAAUAUUCUCUUCUAGACCAGCUGUCAGUUGACACUAAAAAUCAAGCAAAUAAGGGUUAUAUUAUUCAUGAGAAUAGUUAACUUUGGGUAAUGAAGUCUCAAUCAUCUUUUAUACCUUCUAAAAGAAUACUCUUUCCAGUAAUUAAAAAAGAAUCUCAAUGAAUCUCAAGUUAGUUUAAGUAAUGAGGUUUGCCGCCAUUUUGUUAAAUUAGAAAAGACUAGACUGCAUUUAAUGUUUUAUAUCUAGAUAAUAGUUAUAAUUUGUACAUUCGUGUCAUAUUUUACAAAUGUAAUAAGCACAAUUUUAGUAAGGCAUAGAAUAAAUUUAAUAUUUAAUUAAUAGAAUAGGGGUACACAAUGUGGAUUUUUAAAAUGGCUGAAUUAAAAUAAAAACAAGUAUUAAUCUACCAAUAAUUUUAAUAACGUUGCUAUUAUAGUAGAAUCUCAAAAUAUGGCAACACUAUUCCAUUUUAAAACGUGUGAGAACGCAUUUUGUACCUUGUGUCUUAUACCUGGUGAAUGAAUCUGAAUAUUGUAUUGUAUAUUCUUAUAUUAAAUAUUAAUUAUACCAUAUCAUAGGUUUAUAUUUAUUGUGUAAUAGAAAUAGGUGGAUGAAUGAAUAUACUUCGGUGGUUCGCCGCCAAUGCUCGUAGGCAGCUAUUUAAAUGUAGGCUAAAUGUUUAAAUAUUAAGUGGUAUAUUUUAAAAUGCUUAUUAUUUUAUGAGACGUGAAAUUUAAAAUAAUUCACUUUUCUACUAUUUAUUUAUGACGAAAAUUUCGGUAGAUUUUUUAAGCAUUUUAAAAUACACUAAAGUAUGUAAAAGACAGUUGUAAGACUGGUUUUCAUAGAUUUUUGAACUCUUUACAUAAUGCAAGUGAAUGAGGUUGUGCUUAGGACAAUUAUGAAUGUGUGGGUGUCGCUGAAUUGACCAAAGAGCGCUUGGAGUUUGUAGCUAAUUUUAACGUAAAUAAGGUCUAAAAUCGUAUGGCACGUAACCGUGGCAGCUUUUAAUGUGCUGAAAACUGCUUGAAUGCGAAUAUCAAUUUUUAUAGAUUUUUACUUUGGAACAUUUUGAACUUUAUGUGUAAGACUUAAGGUUCAAUAUCAUAUCUGGGCGUUGCCUUGCCUGGUUGACACAUAUUCAGAUAAUAUCUUGCCAGUAUUUCUUCCAUAUCACAAAAAAGGUUUUUAUCAACCUUUUAAAAAUAUUUUGGAUUAAACAUACCUCGUUUUCAGACUUCCAAUUUUGAGAUUAGGCCAGUUUUGGCCGUGCAGCUUUAGCUGUGGACUUCAAUGCUCAAAUAGCAGCCUUUUUGUAAAAUGCUUGUGCCUGCUUAGUUUAAGAAGUAUAUACUGUAGCUAUGUACAAGUAAGUACCUAAUUCCAUGGAAUAUUUACGGUGAGUUGCACCAUUUAACUAAAACCAUAACUAAACAAUUUGCAGUUGUCGUUGUCAUAUCGCCGAUUCGACCAAUGGUCGGCAAGUAUACGGCUGGUUAUUGUUAUAGUUAAAUGGUGCUUCUCGCUCUUAGUAUAAUAGGACAUUUUGACAACUAGUUUAUUGUUUAGAUGAUUUUUUGAAAGAGUUUGGUGUGAUUAUGCUGGUGGCCAGUUUUCGAUGUGAAGUUGAUAAGAAAUUGCAUAUUUGCAAAGUAAACUGAUAAACAAUGUUUUAUCCGAAGUUACUGAACACCACGUGAAUAGUAUUGGCCACUAGCAAUUAAAAAAGGAAUACUUAAUUUAUAAAAAUAUUGAACAAAAGGCUAAUUAAAUAGAUUUGUUAUAUUUUCGAAUGAAAGACUCAACAUGCACAAAGUAUUUGCCUAUAGAUGUAAUUAUAUGCACAAUAUCGUAAUCGUUGUAAAACACUUUUGUAUUUUUUAAAUAAUAUA